UACGUAGGGAGCAAGCGUUGUCCGGAAUCAUUGGGCGUAAAGCGCACGCAGGUGGCUGAGUCAGUCGAUUGUGAAAGCCCUGGGCUUAACCUGGGAAUUGCAGUCGAUACUACUCAGCUAGAGUAUGGGAGAGGGUAGUGGAAUUCCCGGUGUAGCGGUGAAAUGCGUAGAUAUCGGGAGGAACAUCAGUGGCGAAGGCGGCUACCUGGCCCAAUACUGACACUCAGGUGCGACAGCGUGGGGAGCAAACAGG
rnacentral:rRNA from 1 species